rnacentral:lncRNA from 1 species
CAGAAGUUUCCUGGCCUCUACCACCCACUGUGCUUGUGCAUAGGGUGCACACCCAUGUGCCCCUGCUGGGUGGUGGGCUCCAGAAACUUCUGUGGUUCUGGACAUAUCAUAAGCCCUCAAGAAAUGCUGAUGGAGGGCCGGGGUUUUAGCUCAGUGGUUUCACCACCUGCUGCGCAAGCACAAGGACCCGAGUUCAAUCCCCAGUACCAAAAAAAAAAAAAGUUGAUGGAGGAAGGAAGGUUGAGGCGACUUGGACAGAAGGAGGGGAGGUGGAUAUAGUGAUGACUUGGAACGCAAGGCCACCAUGACCCUGUCCUCCCAGGCCCUGAGCAGAAACCCCACGCUGGGGUCAGGUCCCUUCUCAAACCCGGGCAGUACCCCUCCCAACAUGCUGCACCAACCCAGGGGUCCCUCUCCCCACUCAGCAUCCGCCAGCUGAAGGAGCGUGUGGCCAAUCUCCGCGGGAAACAUAAGCAGGUCUACAGCCUGGUGGUGAAGGAGAUCAGCCCACAGGUCAACUGGGCAGCGCUGGUGGAGGAGAAGCUGGUAUGUGGGCCAGGUGGGUGGGCACAUGGGCAGAGCCACCAUCCGGGCACCACGGUGCUGCUGGGAGGGCCGGAUCCCCAUGUCUCCUGACAUUGUGCUGAUGAGAAAAGUAAGACUCAGAGGAGCCCACCGCCGAGCUAGGAGUUGCACAGCAGACGCAGUGGAGAUUCAGACCCCGUGCCCCCUAAGCCCAGCUCAUUAGGGUCCCGGCAGGGCUCUUGGGAUAGGCUGAGGGACAGUUGCCAGCUCAUCCCCACCCAGGAUCAUCUCACAGCUGCUGCAGUGGGUGUCCUCAGCCUGAGGCCCUGCUGUCCACCUCAGUCCUGUGACCCUGGGCAUGUGGCUUCUGCUUCCCCAGCCUCUGUCGCCCCACCUGUGAUGUGGGAACCGUAGCUGUGUAGGCUUCUUGAAGUUGCUGUGAGGUCGACCAAGGGUAUCGAUGCUCAGCAGGCAGAUGGUCAGCAGUACAGGUGCCUGUGGCCUCUCUGAGCACCUUUGCAGACCCUGGCCAUCCUGGGAGGAAGAGGCCAUUUUCCCUAGUCCAAGGCACAGAACAGGCUCCAGGGUGGGCUGCACUUGCAUUCCUCUUGGGUUCUUCCCACCACCAGGACAAGCUGAGCAGCCAGAGCUUUGGGACGGACCUGCCACUGGUGGACAGCCAGGUGGAGCAGCACAAUAUCUUCCACAAUGAGGUCAAGGCCAUCGGGCCCCACCUGGCCAAGAAUGGGGAUAAGGAGCAGGACAGCGAGCUGCAGGCCAAGUACCAGAAACUGCUGGCAGCAUCACAGGCACGGCAGCAGCAUCUGAGCUCACUGCAGGACUACAUGCAGCGCUGCACCAAUGAGCUGUACUGGCUGGACAAGCAGGCCAAGGGUCGCAUCCAGUAUGACUGGAGCGACCCUCCCCCAGCCGCCGGCGCCAGUAUGAGGUGGGUACGGGUCUGGAGAGGGCCAGGAGGGGUUUGGGGCUGCCAGGCCAAUGCUGAGUCCCUGACCUGCUGCAGAAUUUCAUCCAUCGGAAUCUGGAGGCCAAAGAAGAGAGGAUCAACAAGCUACACCGUGAAGGUGACCAGCUGCUGGUGGCUGAGCACCCUGGGAAGAACUCCAUUGAGGUGAGUGCAACCAGGGAAGUUGGCUCCUCCAAAGUGGGGACUCCUCUGGGGUGGCCUCAGGUGUCCUCUGCCCAUGGGCUGCCUGGAACAUGGCAGCCCUGGAGGUGGGAUCCCAGGGCUGCAUCCAUGUCUCUC